rnacentral:tRNA from 1 species
UGCGGAAUAGCUCAGUUGGUAGAGCACGACCUGCCAAGGUCGGGGGUCGUGAGUUCUAUCUCGUUUCCUCGCCCA